CGGGGAAUGGAUCGUAAAGCAAGAGUUUGAGUAGAGAAGUAGAUGGACAGAAAGACAUAAUACUAUUUAUAUAUUAUAUAUAUAUAAUAAUGGCUAGAAGGUGUUUUCUUGGUUGUGAAGGGACCUCUCCCUUGUAUGGUUUGCCAAAGGCAGAGCCUUCACGUAGCCGUUGGCUAGAUUUCAUCAUUUUUAACCCUAUUCCACCGACUUUACCGAGCCUUUUUCUGUGUCGCCUCCACUUCACGGAUGGCUGCUUCAGCAACCUGCGUGAAGAUGACUCUCAACAUGACUGCAGUGCCCAUAAUCACCCCUUUCAACACGUCGGAUGCCAGACCGACACGCCUCAGAUUAUAUCGACGGGAACCCAAACAAACUCGCCGGUGGGAAUGCAUUCUGUGGGAAUACAAAGUGCACGGUUGAAGUCGACAUCAGGCGGCACACAGUUGUCCAUGGGAUCGCUAAAGGCACACGUAAGAAGCAACGCCAUGCAGACACAGGUGUCUCCUGUCAGUACAGUCUUCGGAACAACCUCUCUUUUGCCCCACUCACUGCUGACUUCAUCACCAAUAAAGGGCCCAGGCUGGUGACCUAGCAAGAGACCACGGCUUGAGUUGGAGGAAGAGGAGGAGAGUGACUCCACAAGUCAUUCCACAGUCUGAUACUGCGUUUUGCUCCAAAGAAUGUGUUUAUUUCACUUCAUGGGAAUGUUGUGCAGUUGUAUCUAGCAUCAAUGCAUCACAAUGAAAAUGCAUCACAGGAGCAAGCUACGACUUCUGCAGGGCAGGCGUUGUGAAGGCCGUGAAAACAGAUCCAACAUUCAACUAUGUACAUGACCUCAUGAGGCUGCUCAUGGAGGUUUUUGAGGACCCAACAUCAUUUGAAGAGAAAAUGAAGACUAUCCCCAUCCCUCCAGACCUUUCAGCAGAAUAUACACACACUCCCAAGGCUGAGCUGGUUGCCCGUCACGUCUCCCGCUUCAAUCCAGAGGUGGUCUGAAGCCUACGAAGUCACCAGAUGGGAACUGCUGCCAUAUCCGCUGCACCACACAUGACGGGAUGACGACCCGACAACUAUGUCCUAAAUAUCCCCAACACCAGCUUACAAAGCUGCGAUAGGCAAGAUGCCUUAAACCUAAGGGACUAGGGCUGGGUAUCACUAGAUACCACACGAUACAAUACUAUCACGAUAUUUUACCCACGAUAACGAUAAUAUCACGAUACAGCGAUUCUGCGAUUAUCGAUAUAGUGCAAGAAAUUUCACCCACGAUACAUCACGAUAUCUGUGUCACUGAAGAAAUUCAGAAUUUAUUACAAAAACAUUUUAUGCAAAGUAACAGAAAAUUAGAAAACAAAAUAAAUGCAGAAAACAUUU
ensembl:lncRNA